CGAAUAUAAAAAAAAUGUGUUGUACCUAAUGCUUUAGCGCGUAGACUUUUCUGAGGAAAAAACCGUGGGCAAGAAUUUCACAAUCUUGAAAUCGUCCAUCCUCAAACCCCCCAAAAAUUUGUCUGAGAUCAGACAGAAACAACACUUGUUUUCAGCUGAUCAAGAAUGGAUCUGCCACCAGAAGAGCUUCAAUUCUUAACCAUACCUGAUAUUUUCCAAGAAUCAAUCUCCAUACCCAAGAGAUCUCCUAAAACUUUCUACCUUAUUACCCUUACUUUAUUAUUUCCUUUAUCUUUUGCAAUCUUGGCUCAUUCUUUGUUCACUCAUCCAAUCAUUACUCAGCUCCAGGAAAACCCAAAUUCAUCUCAUGCUUCUCAAUGGACCAAACUCAUUGUUUUCCAGUUUGUUUACCUACUUUUCUUGUUUGCUUUUUCUUUGCUUUCAACUGCUGCUGUUGUUUUCACUGUCGCAUCAAUUUACACCUCAAAGCCUGUCUCUUUUUCCUCUACCUUAGCUGCAAUUCCCAGUGUUUUCAAGAGGCUCUUCAUUACCUUCAUAUGGGUUUCUCUAUCUAUGUUGGCUUAUAACACUGUUUUCUUGAUUUUUCUUGUGCUUCUGAUUGUAGCAGCCGAUACCCAGAAUGUGGUUUUGUUCCUUUUCUCCUUCUUGGUUGUCUUUAUACUCUUCCUUGUAGUGCAUGUUUACUUCAGUGCAUUGUGGCAUUUGGCAAGUGUGGUGUCUGUUCUUGAGCCUAUUUAUGGUAUAGGAGCUAUGAAGAAGAGCUAUGAGUUGUUGAAAGGAAGGACAGGAAUGGCAUUUUUCCUUGUUUUUGGAUAUUUGUCUAUUUGUGGGGUAAUUAAUGGGUUUUUUGGGUCAGUUGUGGUGCAUGGAGGUGAAACUUAUGGUGUGAUUUCAAGGAUUAUGAUUGGCGGGUUCUUGGUUGGAGUAUUGGUGAUUGUGAAUCUUGUGGGGCUUUUGAUGCAAAGUGUGUUUUACUAUGUUUGCAAGAGCUACCAUCAUCAGGGGAUAGAUAAGACUGCUCUGUAUGAUCAUCUUGGUGGAUACCUUGGGGAAUAUGUGCCUCUGAAAAGCAGCGUGCAGAUGGAGAACUUAGAAGGCGGUGCCUUGACGCCAUGAUGGUGAGAAAGGCUAUACCCUUGUACUUUCAUUCAAAUUUGUUGUGUGAUAUAUUGGCAAGAGGAAUGGUAAAGACAUUAACUUGCGUACAAUAGACUCUUAUGGUCGGGCCCUUCUCCGGACCCUGCGCAUAGCGGGAGCUUAGUGCACCAAGCUGCCAUUUUGAAUUUACUUGAAAAACAAAUAAAAGAAAAGGCGAGGGAUCGCCUCAUUGGACAGAAAAGCUCACACUUCAUUUUGUGUCUCUUGUUGGGAAAAUGGUGGGGAGAAGAGAUGGGAUGGAGGAGCUAUGCAGAUAACAAAUUGUGGCCAAAGCUGUGAAGAUUGCCCUGAUGACCAGACAGACUAUACCUUUUUCUUUCCUAGAUGUUGAAAUUGAUUCUCUUGUUCCUUUUUGUGAUAAAAGUUGAAGAAACUUUAUCACUUUAGUUAAUUACUCAUUAGAGAUUUAGUUUUUUGGUGCAAAAAAGUACAUACGAAUUAAAAGCUUUUUUUUUUUAAUUUGAACUACUUAACUAUAGUUGGUUACAUUUAGUAUUUGAGUCUUACUUUAUGUCACACUAAACAGAAUAGUAUAUAAAUAUUCACAAGGAAAAAGAAAAGAGAGAUGACUAGAAGUCUAUUCAGAAAUGAUUAGAAGAUGAUUUAUACCAAAAUGGAGUGAGAGAGACGUUAUUUAUUAUAGAAAGAAAAUCCAUGAUUGUAUAAUUACCUACUCUAUCUCUAUGAGUAGAGGUAAAGUCUACAUACAUUUUAUUCUUUUUA